UAGGGAAUAUUGGUCAAUGGACGCAAGUCUGAACCAGCCAUGCCGCGUGCAGGACGAAGGCCCUCUGGGUCGUAAACUGCUUUUGUACGGGAAGAACAGCCUCCACGAGUUGGGGGUUUGACGGUACUGUAAGAAUAAGGAUCGGCUAACUACGUGCCAGCAGCCGCGGUAAUACGUAGGAUCCGAGCGUUGUCCGGAUUUAUUGGGUUUAAAGGGUGCGCAGGCGGCCCGAUAAGUCAGUGGUGAAAGCCGGCAGCUCAACUGUCGAAUUGCCAUUGAUACUGUUGGGCUUGAGUAUAGUUGAGGUUGGCGGAAUGUAUCAUGUAGCGGUGAAAUGCAUAGAUAUGAUACAGAACACCGAUUGCGAAGGCAGCUGACUAAGCUAUUACUGACGCUCAUG
rnacentral:rRNA from 1 species